GAUGAACGCUGGCGGCGUGCUUAACACAUGCAAGUCGAACGAAGCACUUUAUUUGAUUUCCUUCGGGACUGAUUAUUUUGUGACUGAGUGGCGGACGGGUGAGUAACGCGUGGGUAACCUGCCUUGUACAGGGGGAUAACGGUUGGAAACGGCUGCUAAUACCGCAUAAGCGCACGGCAUCGCAUGAUGCAGUGUGAAAAACUCCGGUGGUAUAAGAUGGACCCGCGUUGGAUUAGCUAGUUGGUGAGGUAACGGCCCACCAAGGCGACGAUCCAUAGCCGACCUGAGAGGGUGACCGGCCACAUUGGGACUGAGACACGGCCCAAACUCCUACGGGAGGCAGCAGUGGGGAAUAUUGCACAAUGGGCGAAAGCCUGAUGCAGCGACGCCGCGUGAGCGAAGAAGUAUUUCGGUAUGUAAAGCU
rnacentral:rRNA from 1 species